rnacentral:rRNA from 1 species
UACGAAGGGGGCUAGCGUUGCUCGGAAUCACUGGGCGUAAAGGGCGCGUAGGCGGCUAUUCAAGUCAGGGGUGAAAUCCUGGAGCUCAACUCCAGAACUGCCUUUGAUACUGAGGAUCUUGAGUUCGGGAGAGGUGAGUGGAACUGCGAGUGUAGAGGUGAAAUUCGUAGAUAUUCGGAAGAACACCAGUGGCGAAGGCGACUCACUGGACGGUUUCUGACGCUAAGACGCGAAAGCGUGGGGAGCAAACAGG